CGAGGAACUGUGGUCAUUUUAGUCAGAGGCCACACCCAUCUUGAUGCAAAGCCCUAAUUAAAAAUAUGUGGAAUUUAUCUUGUUCAAAAUUUGAUAGGAGUCCAUCUUAAUGUUGAUAUGGCAGCCAGCAACAGUUGCUCUCUCUCUUUUCUUCACUUUUAGCUAUUUGUUUCAUAUUUAUUGUUUUCUAUUACCGUUUUUUUUUUUCUUCAGUAAGUUGUAUUAACCUUAGCCAACUAUGUUUGGGAACUUUUUUUUUUUUUUUUGUCCGUGUGUCUCAUUCUUUGGACAAUUUUUCCCGACCGCGUCUCCGUUGGGGCGCAACAAUGCGGCGUAUCUAUUGUUUACACCCGAGAUCAGCUGUUGUCGCUACAACCAUCGGCGCUGAUGCGGGAGAGACCUGAAAUCCCCAGAGUACUGAGGAGGAAGUUCAGGGGAUGUAAGGCUGGACGUAAACAUCGAGAAAAGAAGCAGAGAUAUAAACCAUCUCUCCCUUCCAUCACCAUGGGGAAUGUGAGGUCGUUGGCUAAUAAGAUGGAUGAGCUGGCAGGCUUGGUGAGGACUCAGCGGGUGUAUCGUGAGAGCAGUGUGCUGUGUUUCACGGAGACGUGGCUCCAUGAGGACAUUCCGGACGUUAAUGUUACUGUGGACGGCUUUCAGACUGUUCGGGCGGACAGGAAUCACCGAGAGAGUGGCAAGAGGAAAGGUGGCGGACUUGCUAUUCUUAUUAACAACAAGUGGUGUCAUCCUGGUCACGUCACGGUGAAGGAGAGGGUGUGCAGCCCGGACAUUGAACUGCUUGCCGUGAGUCUGCGGCCAUAUUAUCUGCCGAGGGAGUUCUCACAUGUGAUAUUCCUGGUUGUUUACAUUCCUCCGACUGCAAACGCGGUGGACCCGAGUGACGUCAUCCACACCGUCGUCGCGGGACUUCAGACACGGCACCCUGACGCAUUCAUCGCGAUAUCUGGGGACUUCAAUCACAUCACUCUGGCUGCAACACUGCCCACUUUCAAGCAGUUUGUUGACUGUCCUACCAGGGAAAACAAGACACUUGACCUGCUGUACGCAAAUGUUAAGGAUGCUUACAGCUCCACUGCCCUUCCUCCUCUUGGAAAAUCAGACCACAACCUCAUCCACCUGCAGCCCCUGUAUAAGCCCCAAGUCCAGCGGCUACCUGUGACCACCAGGACUGUGAGGAGAUGGUCACAGGAGACCGAUGAAGCUUUGCAGGGCUGCUUUGAACUAACAGACUGGGAGUUGCUCUGUGAUUCACAUGGAGAGGACCUUGAUGAUCUCACGGACUGCAUAACUGGGUACAUCAACUUCUGUGUGGACAGUGUUGUUCCUACAGUGACUGUACGCUGUUUCCCCAAUAACAAGCCGUGGGUCACCAGAGACAUCAAGGUCCUGCUGAAUGAGAAGAAGAGGGCCUUCAGAGAUAGGGACAGGGAGCAGAUGAGGCGGGUACAGAGGAAGCUUAAGGAGAA
rnacentral:lncRNA from 1 species